UACGUAGGGGGCAAGCGUUGUCCGGAUUUAUUGGGCGUAAAGAGCGUGUAGGCGGCCACACAGGUCAGCUGUGAAAACUCGAGGCUCAACCUCGAGACGUCGGUUGAAACCGUAUGGCUAGAGUCCGGAAGAGGAGAGUGGAAUUCCCGGUGUAGCGGUGAAAUGCGCAGAUAUCGGGGAAGAACACCCGUGGCGAAGGCGGCUCUCUGGGACGGUACUGACGCUGAGACGCGAAAGCGUGGGGAGCGAACAGG
rnacentral:rRNA from 1 species